rnacentral:rRNA from 1 species
UUAUUAAAAACAUGGCCUUUUGAUUAUAAUUUAAGGUCUUGCCUGCCCAAUGAUUGUAAAAUUUAAUGGCCGCGGUAUUUUGACCGUGCAAAGGUAGCAUAAUCAAUAGUUUUUUAAUUGAAAGCUGGAAUGAAUGGUUUGAUGAGAAAAUAACUGUCUCUAUUUUAAUUAAUUAGAAAUUUAUUUUUAAGUAAAAAAGCUUAAAUAAUUAUAAAAGACAAGAAGACCCUGUAGAAUUUUAUAUUUUAUAAUUAGAUUAUGAUUAGUAUUUAAUAUAGUUUUAAUUAAAGGAAUAUUUUGUUGGGGCGAUAAAAAAAUUAAUUUAACUUUUUUUUUAUUAAAACAUUAAUUUAUGAUUAUUUGAUCCUUUAAUUAAGAUAAAAAGAAUAAAUUACCUUAGGGAUAACAGCGUAAUUUUUUUUUAGAGUUCAAAUUAAAAGAAAAGAUUGCGACCUCGAUGUUGGAUUAAAAUAAAUUGUUGGUGUAGAAGCUAAUAAAAUUAGGUCUGUUCGACCUUUAAAAUUUUACAUGAUCUGAGUUUAAACCGG